rnacentral:rRNA from 1 species
GGACGAACGCUGGCGGCGUGCCUAACACAUGCAAGUCGAGCGGAGUUUAAUCGGUAGCGAUUUCGGUCAAAACCGAUUAAACUUAGCGGCGGACGGGUGAGUAACACGUAGGCAACCUGCCCGUGACACGGGGACAGCUUCGGGAAACCGGAGAUAAUACCCGAUACCUUUACAAAUCCCAUGAUGAGUAAAGAAAGCGAUAGCGGUCAUGGAUGGGCCUGCGUCCCAUUAGCUAGUUGGUGAGAUAACAGCCCACCAAGGCAACGAUGGGUAGCCGACCUGAGAGGGUGACCGGCCACACUGGAACUUAGACACGGUCCAGACUCCUACGGGAGGCAGCAGUGGGGAAUUUUGCGCAAUGGGGGAAACCCUGACGCAGCGACGCCGCAUGAGCGAAGAAGGCCUUCGGGUCGUAAAGCUCAGUUAUUGGGGAUGAAAAGGACAGUACCCAAAGAGAAAGCCCCGGCUAACUACGUGCCAGCAGCCGCGGUAAUACGUAGGGGGCGAGCGUUGUCCGGAAUUACUGGGUGUAAAGGGCGUGUAGGCGGGGAUGCAAGUUAUCGGUUAAAACCCAAGGCUCAACCUUGGGCUUGCCGGUAAAACUGUGUCUCUUGAGUAUAGGAGAGGGAAGUGGAAUUCCCGGAGUAGCGGUGAAAUGCGUAGAUACCGGGAGGAACACCAGUGGCGAAGGCGGCUUCCUGGCCUAUCACUGACGCUGAGGCGCGAAAGCUAGGGUAGCGAACGGGAUUAGAUACCCCGGUAGUCCUAGCCGUAAACGAUGGUCACUAGGUGUGGGUGGUGGUCAAGCCAUCCGUGCCGGAGCUAACGCAAUAAGUGACCCACCUGGGGAGUACGGCCGCAAGGUUGAAACUCAAAGGAAUUGACGGGGGCCCGCACAAGCGGUGGAGCAUGUGGGUUAAUUGGAUGCUACGCCAAGAACCUUACCAGGGCUUGACAUGUGGGGCCCGCGUGAGAGAUCACGUUUUCUCGCAGAGACCCAUCACAGUGUGCAUGCUGUCGUCAGCUCGUGUCGUGAGAUGUGGUAGUCCGCACGAGCGCAUCCCUCACCGAUGUGGCAUCGAUCCGCUGUCACUCUUUCGGACUGCUUGAACAAUCAGGAGGUAGGCUAGAAUGAACGUCAAGUUCGCAG